AAGUUCUAAGAGGAUUGCAGAAGCAGCCUCAGGGCAUUGAGCACAGACUGAAUGACUCAGUGACGCUUGGAUCAGGUCAGAUCAAAUUCUCAAGCAAACAGAUGGCUGGGGAUAUUCAGUAACAACGGUGAGGAGAGAGAGGAACAAUUCACAUUUCAAGUGACCCUUCCUCAAAACGGUCUGUUCUGAAGGAGCUUUCCCGCAGAAAUCAUUGGAUUGAAAGGUCUCCAGUGCAUCCGUACAGAUUGGUUUUAGUGUUGAAUUCUCAAGCUUGCUCUGUUCAAGGGAUUGAACCCCUCUGCUACAAAGGGGGGUCAGUUACCUCAGCUAA